GCAUUAAUGGGGUAGUGGUAACCUGGGUCGUUGCCAUCGGUGGUCAAUUCUCGUAUGACAGAUUAUUUCUUUCGACCCGCCGGGGGUUCGAUUCCCUCUUAAUGCA